ACGGAAGGCAGCAGUGGGGAAUAUUGCGCAAUGGGCGGAAGCCUGACGCAGCGACGCCGCGUGGGGGAUGACGGCCUUCGGGUUGUAAACCUCUUUCGCCACCGACGAAGCGUUUUGUGACGGUAGGUGGAGAAGAAGCACCGGCCAACUACGUGCCAGCAGCCGCGGUAACACGUAGGGUGCGAGCGUUGUCCGGAAUUAUUGGGCGUAAAGAGCUCGUAGGCGGUGUGUCGCGUCGGCCGUGAAAACUUGCAGCUUAACUGUGGGCGUGCGGUCGAUACGGGCAUCACUGGAGUUCGGCAGGGGAGACUGGAAUUCCUGGUGUAGCGGUGAAAUGCGCAGAUAUCAGGAGGAACACCGGUGGCGAAGGCGGGUCUCUGGGCCGAUACUGACGCUGAGGAGCGAAAGCGUGGGGAGCGAACAGGAUUAGAUACCCUGGUA
rnacentral:rRNA from 1 species